AAGUCGAACGGUGAAGCAGAGCUUGCUCUGUGGAUCAGUGGCGAACGGGUGAGUAACACGUGAGCAACCUGCCCCUGACUCUGGGAUAAGCGCUGGAAACGGCGUCUAAUACUGGAUAUGAGCUGCGACCGCAUGGUCAGCAGUUGGAAAGAUUUUUCGGUCUGGGAUGGGCUCACGGCCUAUCAGCUUGUUGGUGAGGUAAUGGCUCACCAAGGCGUCGACGGGUAGCCGGCCUGAGAGGGUGACCGGCCACACUGGGACUGAGACACGGCCCAGACUCCUACGGGAGGCAGCAGUGGGGAAUAUUGCACAAUGGGCGAAAGCCUGAUGCAGCAACGCCGCGUGAGGGAUGACGGCCUUCGGGUUGUAAACCUCUUUUAGCAGGGAAGAAGCGAAAGUGACGGUACCUGCAGAAAAAGCGCCGGCUAACUACGUGCCAGCAGCCGCGGUAAUACGUAGGGCGCAAGCGUUAUCCGGAAUUAUUGGGCGUAAAGAGCUCGUAGGCGGUUUGUCGCGUCUGCUGUGAAAUCCCGAGGCUCAACCUCGGGUCUGCAGUGGGUACGGGCAGACUAGAGUGCGGUAGGGGAGAUUGGAAUUCCUGGUGUAGCGGUGGAAUGCGCAGAUAUCAGGAGGAACACCGAUGGCGAAGGCAGAUCUCUGGGCCGUUACUGACGCUGAGGAGCGAAAGGGUGGGGAGCAAACAGGCUUAGAUACCCUGGUAGUCCACCCCGUAAACGUUGGGAACUAGUUGUGGGGUCCAUUCCACGGAUUCCGUGACGCAGCUAACGCAUUAAGUUCCCCGCCUGGGGAGUACGGCCGCAAGGCUAAAACUCAAAGGAAUUGACGGGGACCCGCACAAGCGGCGGAGCAUGCGGAUUAAUUCGAUGCAACGCGAAGAACCUUACCAAGGCUUGACAUAUACGAGAACGGGCCAGAAAUGGUCAACUCUUUGGACACUCGUAAACAGGUGGUGCAUGGUUGUCGUCAGCUCGUGUCGUGAGAUGUUGGGUUAAGUCCCGCAACGAGCGCAACCCUCGUUCUAUGUUGCCAGCACGUAAUGGUGGGAACUCAUGGGAUACUGCCGGGGUCAACUCGGAGGAAGGUGGGGAUGACGUCAAAUCAUCAUGCCCCUUAUGUCUUGGGCUUCACGCAUGCUACAAUGGCCGGUACAAAGGGCUGCAAUACCGUGAGGUGGAGCGAAUCCCAAAAAGCCGGUCCCAGUUCGGAUUGAGGUCUGCAACUCGACCUCAUGAAGUCGGAGUCGCUAGUAAUCGCAGAUCAGCAACGCUGCGGUGAAUACGUUCCCGGGUCUUGUACACACCGCCCGUCAAGUCAUGAAAGUCGGUAACACCUGAAGCCGGUGGCCCAACCCUUGUGGAGGGAGCCGUCGA
rnacentral:rRNA from 1 species